rnacentral:rRNA from 1 species
UACGUAGGGCAGCGAGCGUUGUUCGGAAUUACUGGGCGUAAAGAGUGUGUAGGCGGUGCUCCCAGUCUGUUGUGAAAUCUCCCGGCUUAACUGGGAGGGUGCAGCGGAAACUAGAGUGCUAGAGGGUGGGAGAGGUAAGCGGAAUUCCUGGUGUAGCGGUGAAAUGCGUAGAUAUCAGGAGGAACACCUGUGGUGUAGACAGCUUACUGGACCACUUCUGACGCUGAGACACGAAAGCGUGGGUAGCAAACAGG